GCUUAACACAUGCAAGUCGAGGGGCAGCAUUUUUCUAGCAAUAGAAGAGAUGGCGACCGGCGCACGGGUGAGUAACACGUAUCCAACCUGCCGAUAACUCCGGGAUAGCCUUUCGAAAGAAAGAUUAAUACCGGAUGGCAUACGAAUAUCGCAUGAUAUUUUUAUUAAAGAAUUUCGGUUAUCGAUGGGGAUGCGUUCCAUUAGUUUGUUGGCGGGGUAACGGCCCACCAAGACUACGAUGGAUAGGGGUUCUGAGAGGAAGGUCCCCCACAUUGGAACUGAGACACGGUCCAAACUCCUACGGGAGGCAGCAGUGAGGAAUAUUGGUCAAUGGGCGAGAGCCUGAACCAGCCAAGUAGCGUGAAGGAUGAAGGCUCUAUGGGUCGUAAACUUCUUUUAUAUGGGAAUAAAGUUUUCCACGUGUGGAAUUUUGUAUGUACCAUAUGAAUAAGGAUCGGCUAACUCCGUGCCAGCAGCCGCGGUAAUACGGAGGAUCCGAGCGUUAUCCGGAUUUAUUGGGUUUAAAGGGAGCGUAGGUGGAUUGUUAAGUCAGUUGUGAAAGUUUGCGGCUCAACCGUAAAAUUGCAGUUGAAACUGGCAGUCUUGAGUACAGUAGAGGUGGGCGGAAUUCGUGGUGUAGCGGUGAAAUGCUUAGAUAUCACGAAGACUCCGAUUGCGAAGGCAGCUCACUA
rnacentral:rRNA from 1 species